rnacentral:rRNA from 1 species
GUGCAUGGUUGUCGUCAGCUCGUGUCGUGAGAUGUUGGGUUAAGUCCCGCAACGAGCGCAACCCUCGUUCCAUGUUGCCAGCACGUAGUGGUGGGGACUCAUGGGAGACUGCCGGGGUCAACUCGGAGGAAGGUGGGGAUGACGUCAAAUCAUCAUGCCCCUUAUGUCUUGGGCUUCACGCAUGCUACAAUGGCCGGUACAAUGGGUUGCGAUACUGUGAGGUGGAGCUAAUCCCUAAAAGCCGGUCUCAGUUCGGAUUGGGGUCUGCAACUCGACCCCAUGAAGUCGGAGUCGCUAGUAAUCGCAGAUCAGCAACGCUGCGGUGAAUACGUUCCCGGGCCUUGUACACACCGCCCGUCAAGUCACGAAAGUUGGUAACACCCGAAGCCGAUGGCCUAACCACCUUGUGU